UACGUAGGUGGCAAGCGUUGUCCGGAAUUAUUGGGCGUAAAGCGCGCGCAGGUGGUUUCUUAAGUCUGAUGUGAAAGCCCACGGCUCAACCGUGGAGGGUCAUUGGAAACUGGGGAACUUGAGUGCAGAAGAGAAGAGUGGAAUUCCACGUGUAGCGGUGAAAUGCGUAGAGAUUUGGAGGAACACCAGUGGCGAAGGCGACUAUCUGGUCUGUAACUGACACUGAGGCGCGAAAGCGUGGGGAGCAAACAGG
rnacentral:rRNA from 1 species